rnacentral:rRNA from 1 species
UACGUAGGGUGCGAGCGUUGUCCGGAAUUACUGGGCGUAAAGAGCUCGUAGGUGGUUUGUCGCGUUGUUCGUGAAAUCCCACGGCUUAACUGUGGGCGUGCGGGCGAUACGGGCAGACUGGAGUACUGCAGGGGAGACUGGAAUUCCUGGUGUAGCGGUGGAAUGCGCAGAUAUCAGGAGGAACACCGAUGGCGAAGGCAGGUCACUGGGCCGCAACUGACGCUGAGGAGCGAAAGCAUGGGGAGCGAACAGG